rnacentral:tRNA from 1 species
GGGCGCUUAGCUCAGUUGGUAGAGCGUCUGCCUUACAAGCAGAAUGUCGGCGGUUCGAUCCCGUCAGCGCCCCCCA